UACGGAGGGUGCAAGCGUUAUCCGGAUUUACUGGGUUUAAAGGGUCCGUAGGCGGUUUGGUAAGUCAGUGGUGAAAGCCCUUCGCUCAACGGAGGAACGGCCAUUGAUACUGCCAGACUUGAAUUACUGGGAAGUAACUAGAAUAUGUAGUGUAGCGGUGAAAUGCUUAGAUAUUACAUGGAAUACCAAUUGCGAAGGCAGGUUACUACCGGUGGAUUGACGCUGAUGGACGAAAGCGUGGGGAGCGAACAGG
rnacentral:rRNA from 1 species